AUUGAACGCUGGCGGCAGGCUUAACACAUGCAAGUCGAACGAGUGGCGGACGGGUGAGUAAUGCUUGGGAAUCUAGCUUAUGGAGGGGGAUAACUACUGGAAACUGUAGCUAAUACCGCGUACCAUCGGAUGUGCCCAAAUGGGAUUAGGUAGUUGGUGAGGUAAAGGCUCACCAAGCCGACGAUCCCUAGCUGGUCUGAGAGGAUGACCAGCCACACUGGGACUGAGACACGGCCCAGACUCCUACGGGAGGCAGCAGUGGGGAAUAUUGCACAAUGGGGGCAACCCUGACGCAGCCAUGCCGCGUGAAUGAAGAAGGCCUUCGGGUUGUAAAGUACUUUCGGCAGGGAGGCGUUAACCACAGAAGAAGCACCGGCUAACUCCGUGCCAGCAGCCGCGGUAAUAC
rnacentral:rRNA from 1 species